GUAUAUUUUGAAAUGGCCCUGCAAAGCUGCCUCUUGUGGGGAAAAUCUAAAUUCUGUAGUGAAUCUUCUUCCCUUUCCAGGUUCAAGCGAUUCUCCUGCCUCAGCCUCCUGAGUAGCUGCAGGCACCCACUGCCACACCAGCUAAUUUUUUGUAUUUUUAGUAGAGACAGGGUUUCACCAUGUUGGCCAGGCUGGUCUCAAACUCCUGACCUCAGGUGAUCCACCAACCUCGGCCUCCCAAUGUGCUGGGAUUACAGGGGUGAGACACCACAACCCGCUGAAAUGUGUGCUUUCUUAAACUUAGCUCCUUCUGCAUGUGUAUAAGUAUUUCUUUGUAUGGAUUCCCCAACAUGGAAUUGCUGAAUUAUAGGACAUACAUGGAUAAAAUUUUAAUAUAUUACAUCAGAUUACUUUCCACAAGGUAACUAUAUUUUACAUUUCCUCCAAUGGUAUGUGCAACUGGUACCUACUUUUCUAUAACUUUGCUGAUUCUGAAAAUUAUCCAUUUGAAAAAUUUCUAUAGUCCUGGUGGGUGAAACUUUUUACUGUUUACUGCUGAUGAUAAACAUCAUUGUCAAUUUCAUUACCACCUGUAUAAAUA
rnacentral:lncRNA from 1 species